rnacentral:rRNA from 1 species
GGAAACUUGGUGGCGGGAGCCGGGGAAAGAAGAAGGGGGCGGGCGUUGGGCGGAGUGACGGGGGGUAAAGCGGGCGCAGGAGGGUUUGUAAGACAGAGGUGAAAUCCCCGGGCUCAACCUGGGAACUGCCUUUGUGACUGCAAGGCUAGAGUACGGCAGAGGGGGAUGGAAGUCCGCGUGUAGCAGUGAAAUGCGUAGAUAUGCGGAGGAACACCGAUGGCGAAGGCAAUCCCCUGGGCCUGUACUGACGCUCAUGCACGAAAGCGUGGGGAGCAAACAGGAUUAGAUACCCGAGUAGUC